rnacentral:sRNA from 1 species
AUAUCUCUCUGUACGGGAAGGAUGAGAAGCUUCGACCAAGGUUCGAUUCGAGCGUCAGCGAGAAAGCGUUGCCGCAGGCAACGACCCGAAGGGCGAAGCG